rnacentral:rRNA from 1 species
GACGAACGCUGGCGGCGUACUUAACACAUGCAAGUCGAACGGAAAGGCCCUGCUUUUGUGGGGUGCUCGAGUGGCGAACGGGUGAGUAACACGUGAGUAACCUGCCCUUGACUUUGUGAUAACUUCAGGAAACUGGGGCUAAUACCGGAUAGGAGCUCCUGCUGCAUGUUGGGGGUUGGAAAGUUUCGGCGGUUGGGGAUGGACUCGCGGCUUAUCAGCUUGUUGGUAGGGUAGUGGCUUACCAAGGCUUUGACGGGUAGCCGGCCUGAGAGGGUGACCGGCCACAUUGGGACUGAGAUACGGCCCAGACGCAUACGGGAGGAAGGGGUGGGGAAUAUUGGACAAUGGGCGGAAGCAUGAUGCAGCAACGCCGCGUGCGGGAUGACGGCCUUCGGGUUGUAAACCGUUUUCGCCUGUGACGAAGCGUGAGUGACGGAAUGGGUAAAGAAGCACCGGCUAACUACGUG